GUUUGUAAGAAAUUACACCACAUGAAGUGGUAAAAUUUCUAUGCCUUUCAUGAUCAAAUUCAUGUAUGAUUGUGGGCAAAGAAUUGAAAACACGUCCCAUUGAUUUUGCUCCAUUCUCAUUCCCUUAAGAGAAUGUGAUAGCAGUAUGUGAUAAGGCUGAAAGAAGACAAAAUUAUUACCGUGAAGGUAUCAAUGGAUGUGGACGUGCCAAUAGACGAAAUUAUAAUCAUCAUUAUUGUGAUAAUGAGAAUAAUAAAGAUUCUCAAAAUAAUCUUUCACUUUAUGAAAGUAAUAUUUGACAUGAGAUNNNN
rnacentral:lncRNA from 1 species